rnacentral:misc_RNA from 1 species
CGCCUUGGAAAGAGGUGUUUUGUGGGGCGGGAAUGAGGCCGAUGGCGUUUAGUCAAUUUGCAGAUUUUCAAGCCGAGUGUUUACUGGGGAAGGUCCAAGUCAGAGGGUUCGACGUGGCAAAANNNNNNNNCUGUUGGCACGAACGGCCACUCAUAGCCACGUCAGCAUGGAAGUGUUAGAAAUUAAUUAAGGGGUUUAUCAUAAUUAUAAUAUUUUAUUAUUAAUAGGUUUAGGUAUGUGUUUGGGAUGUAAAUAAUUAAUGUAGCAUUCCAAAUGCAAUUUGAUUUUUGGAUUUGGUAGUUGUUUUCAGUUGGGGUGUGGAUGGUAGAAAGUGGGCUGUGCUGGGUUCCUUUAGCCAACUACCUUGGGCCUUGGCCUCUCUUUGUAUAAUUUACUUUAACUUUUGCCUUUUUUUUUCAAUGUCAAACACACAUUAUGAAAUAAAG